UCUUGAUCAUUUGAUUUUCUGUUUUGUGAAUUGCCUGUUCACAUUAUUUUCCUAUUUUUCCAGUUGUUUUAGUUUGCUGAAACUGCAGAAAUGCAAUCUACCAGAAAUGGGCUGGAUUUUAACAAAAGCCUUAUACUUCUGAGGCCAUGAAAAUGUCCAAAUCUCAGCAUCGUCGAGACGAUACCUUUUCCCUGAAGACAGGCUGCUGGUGAUCUGGGACUCCUCUGUCACAAGAUGAGGAAACCAAGGCUUGACUAGCUGAAUAACUUGCCCAAGAUCACAAAGCAGGUAAAUUAUGGACCCAGACGGCAGACACGAGUCUCUGGGGCUUGAAUAUCUGGGUCCUUCUCAUUUAUAAACUUCCCAUAUCGUGUCUGAGGAGCUGCUCUCCCUUUACAGGCUGCUCCAAUCCAUCCCCCCACAUCUGUCUUUGAUAUGGCCAUUUUCUCCAUCCCUUCCAUCUCCUUUCUUUCCCCUGCUCUGAUUCAUAGACAUGUAGGGUCAGAGUUUGGUGAGCAGUAGGGGAAGGGAAACCAUUUCUAAGGUUGUGAAACCAGGAAGAAAAGUGGAUCUCCUCUGACAUUCAAGGAAUCUAACUCCUGUGCUGGCUCUGCUGAUAUAACAUGGUGUGGGGUGCUGAGCUUGUCACCAACCUUCUGUUGUUCCUCACCUGAACCUCUGUGGAAAAGGUUGGUGAGGGAUGCCAAGCAGGAGUUUUCCUCUUGUCCCAGGAACGCAGCUAAGGCCCAAGGCUGAGCAGAGAAUAGACUUAGUUCCCCAUAUCCCUGCAGCCAGCUCCAGGCAAAGGCUCAUGGGGAGGCCAUUCCAGAGGAACUGGUCCUACCCCUGCACCGCCCCCAGCACCCCGCACCCCAACCCACAGCCAUUGGGGAGAGAUCAUGGGUCACCAUUGUGGGAGUGAUUCAUUCCCAAAAAGAGCCUAUGUCUUCUCCACUCUCCCAUUGGGAGGGAGUUCCCAAGAGAGUUAUUCCUAAAACUAAUUGUGCCAGCAAGAAUGAGGGACUGGAUCUCAAUUCUGGCUGGGCAUCUGCUUUGCCAGCAGACUUACUAAAUUGUGUCUGUGCCUCUGACUAAAAGAAAAAAUUGAAUCGAGACGAGGUGGCUUGGUGGGGAACUCCAGAGGGAGAGGGGGUUAGGACGCAUGUGCUCACACCACCAAAGUUUCAUGUUUCUGAGAAGUAAGGAAGAGGCUUCUGCAUCUGUCUGCAGACCUGGGCGUAGACCAUGGCUGGAAGCUGGGACUGGGAGCUCCUGACUUGGAAGGAACCACAACAGGUGCCAGGAAGCCUGGACAUCAGGGGCAUGUGGCCCGAGGCCACCGCUGGCUCCACUUGAAAGUACAGCCAGAACUUUCCAAGGACCACCACUGCCAGCUCUUUGUGCUCUGCGUCUCCUCAACACCCAUCGCUGCUCCCCUUCCUUUCCUCGUUGCUGCCUCAUCCACCCACUCGAUGGAGGGUGACACGAGGGCAGAGACCACUGCUUUGCUCACCUUUCCGUCUACCUGGGAGGCCAACAUGCUACCUGAAUGCGUGGUGGGCGACAACAGUAACUCAAGGAGAGGUGGGUUGGAGGCACUUGACACAGUAUUGCUGAAUGACUGCAUGGUGCACCCUCGUCUCCUCCUGGGGUGCUACAAUGGCUGACUCUCACCUUUGGUUUGGAAGGUGAAGGCUAGAGGAGGUGUGGGGGGUGUGUGUGUGUGUGUGUGUGUGUGUGUGUGUGUGUGUGUGUGCACAGCCAUGCAGGGUUGUGGCUGCAGGAUCGCCAGCUGCCCUUUCACAGAGGUGGGGUUCCCAGGACCCCAAGUUAAGCCUUUUGGAUUCCCUGUGUCAGGCCACACCCUUGAGAGGUGGGACAGGUGCAGCCCAGGGAGGGACGCCCACCCGGUGCCGGCUGCCCACCUGACUCCUGGCACCCAUGCUGGUCUGGAGGGACAUCUGGUGUGCAGCAGCUGACAGAAAUCUGCCACCCAUUUGAUAUCAUUUGAGAUUUGUCCUUCAAAGCCCAAGCUCAGAGAACAGAUACAAGUAAAAUCAUAUCAGGACAUCCUUUGCUCGGAAGCCGUGGUGCAGAUUUACAAAUCAAGCUGGGACAGGUGAGAGGCCGUGAGCAAAUUGCAGACCUGCUCCGGCCCUCAUGUGGGAAAACUGCUGAGGUGGCACCCGCUGUGCCCAGGCUCCUUGGCUCUGCGAUAAGGCACUGGCCUGUCCUCCUGGCCACACAUAUUGCCUAUUGUAAGGUGGAUGCUUUAUUUUCACACAGAAGAAGGUAGACCGAGCCUCUCUGUCAUUCAGUUGGUCAGAAAACUUUGAGGCAGGUUGAGUUUGGAAGCUAACUGGUGUCACUUAGAGCAGAAAAACUGGAAAACUGGGAUGCAAAUAGAUUUUCAGGCAUGGAAGUCAGGAGUAAACUUCCUGUGAACUGCCACCACCCCCACCCAAUAAAGUCUUUAUUUGUUGUUUAUUUAUUUCAAGAAACAGAUAUUGAGUGUCCACUGGGUCUCAAGCCUCUCUUGUAGAAACUUUUUGUACUGCCCUGUCAACUGGGAUAUGUGAAAUGAAAUCAGAGAGGAUGACAUCAGAGCAGGGCCAGGGACACCCUAAAACCCCCAACUUACUCUUCAUUUAGGGGAUCUCAACCUCCUCAUAGAGGAGUGACUCUCUAUUUCAGCUUGCUGAACUCAAAUGCCUAACCCACCCUCUCUCUCUUGUGCUAAACACAAAAGACCCCAAAUGUAAUACUGGCUUUUUUUACCUUGGGUGGGGUGGGCUAAGGAGAAAGAACCCCAGUGAGGGUCUGUGCUUGCUGUUCUCUGAGUAACUUACCCUACUAGGGUGGUGUCCACGAAACGGUAGAUGUUUCUGCCUUUCUGUCUGGAGCUGUGGGCUCUUCCUCACCCCGGCCAAGUUUUAGGAUGACCCUAACUGGAUGGAACGAGCAACGAGGCCCCGACCUGCAGGAACACCAGCUACCGUGACUCAGUCCCUGUCGAGAACAUCCCUGCUCCGAGUUGCUGGCAGCGGAGCACAUGGGACCUGAUAAGGGCACAAGACACGGAACCAGCCCGUGAAUUAGGUCAUCAUGCCUGGAACUGAGAACUGUUCCACUGGGCCCUUGAAGAACAAAACUACCCACCUU